GACUGCGCCACCCCGGCGCCCCUCCUUCCUUCUUCUUGUGUCCUUCUCAUCUGUCACUUCUCGGGGAGGAAAUGAAGUUUCAGACCUUUGGAAUUCCAGAGGGAUCUAAACUCGUCUCCGGGAACUGGGCUUAUCUCCUGCCACCCUUAAACCAUGCUGAGGAACCCGGAGGGAGCUGACCAGGGCUGUUCCUCAGACACCCCUCUACACUGCAAACAGCCUGCAGCUUUCACCGUACGCGGCGACUGUAGAUAAAGAGUUUGAUUGUUCUCCUGGUCAAAUAGGAGCCAGGAUCUACUUCCCAAACCCCCACUUUUGGGGCACCCCGGUGGCUCAGUCAGUUAAGCGGCUGACUUCGUCUCAAGUCAAGCCUGCUUCGAAUUCUCCC